rnacentral:lncRNA from 1 species
UGCGCAUAUGCUUUUAGAAUCUUCCACACUCACUUUUAUUUUCCAAUUUGUACUUGGGUGAUGUUUCUAGUUUAAAAUGCUUCUAGCAAAUAGUCCCCUUCAGGGGAUGGGACCAUAAUGGGAAUAUAAGAAUCUCACAAUAGCUAAAGCAAGUCCUAUCUAUUUAGUCCAACAACAAGAGAUCUUCUCACACUACUAAAACAGAAUAAAGCGUGAAAAGUAAAUUUUCCUCUAUUCAAGUCUCAAGAUAAGAUUAGAGAUUGCUAAUCUCUGAUUUUAGUUGCCUGACUUGAGGGAUUUUUAAGGAUCCGGUGAAGUAUGGUAUAGAACUACAGGCUUUAUAACAAUCUCGUUUAAUCAUUAUUCAUUACACUACGCUGUAGGUUUUCUGAUCAGAAUUGGCUGGAAGACUUUAAUUUUCAGCAGCUAAUAAGACAGGUAUAUUCUUCCCACUCCCUUCUCCCGGCUUGCAUAUUCUACCUCUUUUUCUUAUCUUUUCCUCUCUCUUUGUUCAAUGUUUUCUAGCUGGAAAGUGAUGGCUCCACAGUUUCUCUCUACUUACAGCUUUGUGCAGUUCUUAUUUGUUGAAAUAAGAGCAUGCUUUUGUUUUGAUUCUUACUUUUCUUUUGAAUAGUAGAAAGAGAAAUGAAUACAAACAAAGGUGCCUCUGGUACAUUAAUAAAUCCUGAAGGGCGAAUAGACAAUUUCUAUAUUAUAUAAUAAUUUUACAAUUAGUUCACAUGUAAGGGAGUUCUGGAAGUUCUAUGCAUACAAUGAAGGCUUGUGUUUGUUUUUAUUCAGAGUUUUAUGAUUCAUUCAAGAGUUUUUUUUUAAAGUCACGGCGAUUCAAUAAUUUUCUUAAGGAUAAAACCACUGAUUCACACAUUGUCAACUCAAAACAAAUCUAGUCAAGACCACAUCAAAUGCUAUCAUAGUGUCUUGCAUUUGUAUUCCAAAAUAGUAAAUAUGGCAUGGGGUGUUUUGAAAUAAAGAACACUGUGAUUCAAAUGAAAGUGAGACUCUAUUGAUAAAACUUCGUUCCUGGAUCAUAGUAAGAAACAGAAGCAUAACUAUCAACCCAUACAAUAAUAGGAAAUCCCCUUUCCAAAGAGAGAUGUAAAGUGUAUUCUUACAAUGUCUGAAGGAUAUGAUGCAUUUAUUACUUUCUAACCAAUGUUUGAGCACAGGCAAAUACAACAUAAUAGGAGUCCUAGUAAUCCAAACAAUCUGCUAAUUAACACACAAUGGUGUCACAUAGAGCAAUAUGAGACAUUGAACUGUUGGGCGCGGGGCGCGGGGCGCGGGGACCCGGG